UUGCUUGCCUUGGCAUCACAUAUACUAAAAUUGGAAUGAUACAGAGAAGAUUAGCAUGGACCCUGCGCAAGGAUGACAUGCAAAAUUCAUGAAGUGUUCCAUAUUUUU
rnacentral:snRNA from 1 species